GCGCCAGUAGCUCAGUUGGAUAGAGCAUAGGUCUUCUAAACCUAGGGCCGGGGGUUCGAGUCCCUCCUGGCGCGCCA
rnacentral:tRNA from 1 species